rnacentral:rRNA from 1 species
UACGUAGGGGGCAAGCGUUGUUCGGAAUUACUGGGCGUAAAGGGCGCGUAGGCGGCACGGCAAGUCGGGAGUGAAAGGCCUGGGCUCAACCGAGGAACUGCUUUCGAGACUGCCGAGCUAGAGUGCGGAAGGGGCAACUGGAAUUCCCAGUGUAGCGGUGAAAUGCGUAGAUAUCGGAAGGAACACCAGUGGCGAAAGCGGCUUCCUGGUCCAGCACCGACGUUCAGGCACGAAAGCGUGGGGAGCAAACAGG